AGGGUCGGCAGGGACCUUGUGGCAGGGCACUGCAGGUGCCGGCCACUUUAAGGGCCUGAGACAGCAGCCGGCAGGUGCCUGAUGAGGACGGCCAUUUUAGAUUUCAGGGCUGCCCAUAGAAACAGGGCAUUUUGCUGCUGGGAGGCCAGGCAACAACACUGCCUGGCUGCAGGUGUCAUCUGGAGCUAAGGUUAGAGGUCAGAGAUGCUGAGAGUCUACUUAAGCCUCAGGCCUCAGGUUUUCAGACUGUUUCAGCUCUAGCUAAAAAACUUAACUCAGGUGUAGUAACAUUAACUCAGGUGUAGAAAUGACUGAUGCUGAAGUACUGGAGAUCUACCCAUGUCUCCAUGCAUGUACUUUUGCAUAGGUACUGCUGAAUAAGUUGAGGCAACUUCCCAACACAAGACUUCAAGAUGGGGAAGAAAGAAAUGAGUACAGAACAGGCCACAAUUUCAUGAUGACUGCACUGGAAGGGAAUUUGUCAGUUUCAGAAAGGCUGGUGAAGAUGGAGAAAACUGAUGGUAGAGAUGGUGAAAUAAGAAAAAAAAAACAAUUGGUUAAAACUUAUGAAAACAUCCAUACCCUCUUGACCAGACAGGAGGAGACGUGUAGUCACCUUGUACUUGGAUGUACCAAAUGCCUAUAUCCUAUACUUCAAACAUGAAACUCAAGCUGCUUAAUGCAGUAUCAGUAGUCAUCAAAUGCUCUACCAUUCAUGAGCAAACACAUGACAAGGCCCAUGCCAUGACCCACACUAACAAAAUAAAAACAGUAGGUGACAUUGCAGGCCCAGCGUGGUCUUUUGCCUUGACCCCAUUCAAGCUAUUCUGUAUAUUAUAAAAACAGAACACAAAAACUAAGGGAAAAGUGGCCAUUCUACUCCCUCCAGUAUCAAAUACACAGAAAAGCAUACUUCCAGUGCUUAUACUGU